rnacentral:rRNA from 1 species
UGCAAGUCGAACGGUAACAGGAAGCAGCUUGCUGCUUUGCUGACGAGUGGCGGACGGGUGAGUAAUGUCUGGGAAACUGCCUGAUGGAGGGGGAUAACUACUGGAAACGGUGGCUAAUACCGCAUAACGUCGCAAGACCAAAGAGGGGGACCUUCGGGCCUCUUGCCAUCAGAUGUGCCCAGAUGGGAUUAGCUUGUUGGUGAGGUAACGGCUCACCAAGGCGACGAUCCCUAGCUGGUCUGAGAGGAUGACCAGCCACACUGGAACUGAGACACGGUCCAGACUCCUACGGGAGGCAGCAGUGGGGAAUAUUGCACAAUGGGCGCAAGCCUGAUGCAGCCAUGCCGCGUGUAUGAAGAAGGCCUUCGGGUUGUAAAGUACUUUCAGCGGGGAGG